GACGAACGCUGGCGGCGUGCUUAACACAUGCAAGUCGAACGGAAAGGCCCUGCUUUUGUGGGGUGCUCGAGUGGCGAACGGGUGAGUAACACGUGAGUAACCUGCCCUUGACUUUGGGAUAACUUCAGGAAACUGGGGCUAAUACCGGAUAGGAGCUCCUGCUGCAUGGUGGGGGUUGGAAAGAUUCGGCGGUUGGGGAUGGACUCGCGGCUUAUCAGCUUGUUGGGGGGGUAGUGGCUUACCAAGGCUUUGACGGGUAGCCGGCCUGAGAGGGUGACCGGCCACAAGGCGACUGAGAGAGGGCCCAGACUCCUACGGGAGGCAGCGGUCGGAAGCAUUGCGCAAUGGGCGGGAGCCUGAUGCAGCAACGCCGGGUGCGGGAUAACGGCCUUCGGGUUGUAAACCGCUUUCGCCUGUAACGAAGCGUGAGUGACGGUAAUGGGUAAAGAAGCACCGGCUAACUACGUG
rnacentral:rRNA from 1 species